rnacentral:misc_RNA from 1 species
GAAAUGCGAUAAGUAAUGUGAAUCGCAGAAUUCCGUGUAUCAUCGAAUCUUUGAACGCACAUUGCGCCCUCUGGCAUUCCGGGGGGCAUGCCUGUCCGAGCGUCAUUACGCACCCUCAAGCCCGGCUUGUGUGAUGGGCCCUGGCGUCUCGUUCGCGAGACGGGCCCGAAAAGCAGCGGCGGCGUCGACCCGAUGAGCCCGAGCGUAUGGGGACUUUUGUCACACGUUUGCGGUGCGGACCGGCGCCUGCUUGACUUUUCUGAUUAUCCAGGUUGACCUCGGAUCAGGUAGGGAUACCCGCUGAACUUAAGC